rnacentral:rRNA from 1 species
ACGGCCGUACCAUGCUGAAUAUACCGGUUCUCGUUAGAUCACCGAAGUUAAGCAUCAUUGGGCGCGGUUAAUACUUGGGUGGGUGACCACCUGGGAACACUGCGUGCCGUU